GGAGCAGUAAUCGAUUCCUUCAGUUGUUUAUGUAUAUUUUCUGUGUUAUAUUUAAGCUGGCAAACACAAAAAGUCAGGCUGGAAGCCGGAGUGGCUGCAGUUACCUCAGUUCAAAGCCUGGCUUUACACCACUCCACAUGGAAUGUUUUGCCGUAUUUGCAGGCAGCAUAAGCCACCUGUAAGGAAUGGUCCUACAAAAAGACCCUUUGUGGAGGUUGGUGCUCUCCAUUACAGGAAGGAUUACCUGGAGCACCACAUCAGUACUGAACACCACCAACUGAGCAUGAAAUCCCAGCAGUCAGUCGCAUCAGGAUACUCCAUCAUGUCCACCUUCGAGCCAGUGAUACAUUUGGAGCACGAAGCUAUUAUUGGUGGUUUCAAGUGUCUUUACUGGCUGAUAAAAAAUGAGAUGGCUCACCACACCAACUACCCCAAAUUGCUAAGUUUAGCCAGACUUUUGGGGUGUGAUUAUUUUGACAAGCUUAAGGUGGACCGCAGGAACAAUUUUCGCUCUCAUCGAAUCAUCGAUGAGAUGCUGGAAAUAAUUUCACAGAUUAUCGAAGAGCCCAUUAUUCAAGAGAUUAGGGCAUCCCAGGCCAUGAGCCUUGAGGUGGAUGAGCACGGAUGUGUCCACAUCUCGCCAGCUUGACCUGCAUGUCAGGUGUGACCGAAUGUUUGGAGGACAAUUUACCCCCGUUACCAAUGUAGACUGAUUUUUUCCUUUUUCAACUGUGUGCGAAAUAAUCACAUCUCUAAUCUGUUCUAUUCCUAAUGUUGUUUUUGUUCAAUUCAGAUACCUGGAUAAUGAGGGACUGGUUUUCAACCAGUUCCUAGACAUUGUCUCAGUCCCUGAUGGGAGGGCUGACACUAUUGUAACCGCCAUUAAAACGGUCCUAAUGAAUAAGAAUAUGCCAACAGAGAAGCUCUAUGGAAUUGGCACAGACGGUGCUGCUGUUAUGACAGGGCGUUUGAAUGGAGUUGUGAAACAACUCACUGAUAGCUUCCCCAAGGUUGUUGGUGUUGCUUGUGCUGCUCACCGGCUUGCACUGGCCUGUAGGGAUGCUUCCAAUGGUGUCAGAUACAUGGCAAUUUUCCGAGACCACCUCCAGGACCUGUAUUUGUACUUCCAACACAGUGCAAACCGGACUGCAGCACUGAAGACUGCUGCUACUACCCUGGGACUAG